rnacentral:rRNA from 1 species
CACCUGGUGGAUAGCUCGGCUCGAGUGCCGACGAAGGACGUGCCAAGCUGCGAUAAGCUCCAGGGACCCGCACGGAGGGAAAGAACUGGAGAUCUCCGAAUGGGAAUCCCCGCCGCAAUUGCCUCGCGCAAUGGGGAACGCCGGGAACUGAAACAUCUCAGUACCGGCAGGAACAGAAACCAAACGGGAUGUCGUUAGUAACCGCGAGUAAACGCGACACAGUCCAAACCGAAGCCCACACGGGCAAUGUGGUGUUCGGACUGACACACAGCACCGGAACACUCCUAUGAAGUCUCCUGGAACGGAGCGCGAUACAGGGUGACAGCCCCGUAAUACGAGCAACUACGGUGUGCGUCAGCUCCAGAGUAUCGGGGGUUGGAUAUCCCUCGUGAAAACGGCCGGCAUUGACGGCUAAGACUAAAUACACCUCGAGACCGAUAGCGAACGAGUAGCGUGAGCGAACGCUGAAAAGCACCCCACAACGGGAGGUGCAAUAGGGCUUGAAAUCAGGUGGCGAUCGAGCGACCGAGCAUACAAGGUCCGCUGAACAACGACCUACCCGCGAGGGCACAGUAGGAAUCAGCGGAAGCCGAUGUUCCGUCGUACGUUUUGAAAAACGAACCAGGGAGUGUACUUGUUUGGCGAGUCUAACCCGGUCAUCGGGGAAGGCGCAGGGAAACCGAUAUGGCCGCAGCCUCACGGCGAGGGCCACCGUGUUCAAGCGCGGGGAGUCAAACGGGUACGACCCGAAACCGGACGAUCUAUGCGUGGGCAAGGUCAAGCGUGCCGAAAGGCACGUGGAAGCCUGCUAGAGCUGGUGUCCUACAAUACCCUCUCGUGACCUACGUAUAGGGGUGAAAGGCCCAUCGAGUCCGGCCACAGCUGGUUCCAACCCAAACAUGUCGAAGCAUGACCUCUGCCGAGGUAGUUCGUGGGGUAGAGACACUGAUUGGGAGACCCAACCCCGAGAGGAGUUGGCCUCCCUGUCAAACUCCAAACCUACGAACGCCGGCGACGCAGGGAGUCCGGUGUGCGGGGUAAGCCUGUGCACCAUGAGGGAGACAACCCAGAGCCGGGGUAAGGUCCCCAAGUGUGGAUUAAGUGCGAUCGAAGGUGGUCUCGAGCCCUAAACAGCCGGGAGGUGAGCUUAGAAGCAGCUACCCUCUAAGAAAAGCGUAACAGCUUACCGGCCGAGGUUCGAGGCGCCCAAAAUGAUCGGGGCUCAAAUCCACCACCGACACCCGGCGGCACCGCUCACCCGGUGACCCAGUAGGUUGGCGCUCUACUCGGCUGGAAGCUCGGGCGAGAGCUCGCGUGGACCGAGUAGUGACGAAAAUCCUGGUCAUAGUAGCAGCGUUAGUCGGGUUAGAACCCCGACGGCCGAACGAGCAAGGGUUCCUCGGCACUGCCGAUCAGCCGAGGGUUAGCCGGUCCUAAGUCUCACCGUAACCCGACCGAGACAACAGGGAAACGGGUUAAUAUUCCCGUGCCACUGGACAACGAAACCGACGCUUUGGGGCCGCCUGAGCCGGGCUCUCGCCCGGUCGAACUAUCAAACUCCGUGGACGCCGUAACGGCAGGAAGCGGACGAACGAUGGGAUAGCGCAAGUCAGGUCAACCUAGAGCCCGUGAAAAGGGAGUCCGGUGUCCGUACCAAGAACCGACACAGGUGCUCAUGGCAGCGAAAGCCAAGGCCUGUCGGGAGCAACCGACGUUAGGGAAUUCGGCAAGCUAGUCCCGUACGUUCGCAAUAAGGGAUGCCUGCCCUCUUCGGGGCAGGUCGCAGUGACUCGGACGCUCCGACUGUGUAGUAACAACAUAGGUGACCGCAAAUCCGCAAGGACUCGUACGGUCACUGAAUCCUGCCCAGUGCGGGUAUCUGAACACCCAGUACAAUGGGGCGAAGGACCCGUUAACGGCGGGGGUAACUAUGACCCUCUUAAGGUAGCGUAGUACCUUGCCGCUUCAGUAGCGGCUUGCAUGAAUGGAUCAACGAGAGCGUCACUGUCCCAACGUUGGGCCCGGUGAACUGCAUCACACAGGUACCCGCGCCAGCGGGCCACCGAGACACCACUGAAAUACUACCCGGUAGUGACUGUGACUCUCACUCUGGGAAGAGAACACCGGUAGCCAGGCAGUUUGACUGGGGCGGUACGCGCUUGAAAAGAUAUCGAGCGCGCCCCAAGAUUUCCUCAUCCGAGUCGGAGACUCGGAACUGAGCGCAAGAGCACAAGGAAGUCUGACAGUGUCGUUCCCAACGAGCGACGCUGACGCGAAAGCGUGGUCUAGCGAACCAAUCAGCCUGCUCGAUGCGGGCGAUUGAUGACAGAAAAGCUACCUUAGGGAUAACAGAGUCGUCACUCGCAAGAGCACAUAUCGACCGAGUGGCUUGCUACCUCGAUGUCGGUUCCCUCCAUCCUGCCGUUUAGACCGUCGUGAGACAGGUCGGCUGCUAUCUAUUGGGGGUGUCACGGAACCUGACGGGAACGGUCGUAUAGUACGAGAGGAACUCCGACCGGUCACCACUGGUCUACCGGUUGUCCGAGAGGGCACGCGCCGGGCAGCCACGUGACACGGGGUAAGAGCUGAACGCAUCUAAGCUCGAAACCCACCUGGAAAAGAGGUUCCACUACAGG